UACGUAGGUGGCAAGCGUUGUCCGGAUUUAUUGGGUUUAAAGGGUGCGUAGGCGGUCUAUUAAGUCAGCGGUGAAAUACUCCAGCUUAACUGGAGGGGUGCCAUUGAUACUGAUGGACUUGAGUCAAGUCGAGGUAGGCGGAAUUGACGGUGUAGCGGUGAAAUGCUUAGAUAUCGUCAAGAACACCAAUAGUGAAGACAGUUUACUGGGCUUAAACUGACGCUGAGGCACGAAAGUGUGGGGAUCAAACAGG
rnacentral:rRNA from 1 species